rnacentral:lncRNA from 1 species
CUACAGGGCAGCCCUGAAACACAUCGGCAAUUUUAAUUAAUUUUUGUGAGUUUGAGUUUUUUAGUUUCGGCUUUCUUUUAUUCAAGCUUUUUAAUACCUGAAAAGGUGAGAAGAUUUCAUUCUGGGCCCAGUUCCAAUGGCAGAUGAAACAACCUUUUCCACAUAAGGACAGGCUGGUAAAUACUCUGCUAAAAUGAUAUGCCACAAAUAUUGCACUGACCCAUUUGCAUGUUUUUUAAACCUUGUAUCCCUUUUGGUAGUUUUUGCAAAAACAUCUGCCACCAAGAAAGCACUCCCUUUAAAGUAAAGGAGUUGUCGCACCAAACUUCAACUUGGUCAUGUAUGUAAUUUUCUGCUACAGGUGGUCAAACAUUGAAAUGCCAUAUAAAACACCAAAAUUGGUCCAUUAUAGAAUCUUAAAACGUUCUGUCUCCUAUCAUAGAUGACACUGCUGGGCCUUUCAUCAAUAAGGACUUCAAACAGUUGAUGGAGGCUGGGGAGGAUAAUGAUGAUAUUCAGUUAAAUCAGCUCAUGUCUUGGCAUACUCCUGAGGAAAACACUCUUGGAGCUGACUCACCUCCAACUCUCGCUGACAUUUUGAAUACUGCGUAUACAUCCUCUGUCGAUCAGAUACAGAAUGAUGCAGCAAGCUCUUUUGAGGAGAUGGAUUUUGAACUGUUAUUUGCGGAUAAUGACCUGGAAGGAUCAUCUGAUGUUAGUGAGACAGUUUUCAAAAAUUCAUCAGCUGCUCUGAACUGGUCCUCAGAUUCCUCGCAAGGACAGUCCUCCACUUCUCAUCUCUCAACGUUGAUAAGUUCUCCUCUCCAAAACAGCGAAUUUUUUCCAAGUGAAAAUGGAAACCAGGCUUCAGUUUCAACCUCAACAUUGGGAAUAAAACCAGUCAAUAAUCUAGGAAAAGGUAUAUUUGAUUAUUUAUCCCUACAUAUUUCCCAAAUAUUUCAAGCUUCAAAAUUUAGUCUGCCAUUUAGCUCAUACAGGUUUUGAAUUUUAUUAUAACCUGAUAGAGCUUUUGAUGCUCCAUUUUGUUCUUCAGUUUCAGCUGAGACCAAUCAAAAAGUUGUCACUUGACCUCCUAAAUGUUUACUUUCUUUCCGCCCGCAUGUAAAGAGGAAGUAUUUCUAGGGUGAAGUAUAGUUAAAAGUAAGUGAGAAAAAAACACAAAGAAGUGACCCAAAUACUGUAUGUAACAAGGUGGAGAAAUGGUGCUGGGUCCACACCAUUUCGCAGGGAAAUCAAGGCCAAGAAGUUCCAAAAAUUAUAAUUAGAGUCAAAAAUUAAUUUUUUUAAACUCAAUGAGUACCAGUACAAAACUGAGGGGGGAGAGUGUUCAGCUCAGGCAGUUUGCAUUGGAAUAUUAAGUUGGAGUCACGCCGAGAGAUCUAUACCGGUUUGGGUCUUUGUGGCUUCCGAGUGGAAUGGAUGGGCGAAGGAAUGGACUGCCUGAGCUGAACACUUUCCCCCCCUCAGUUUUGUACUGGUACUCAUUAGAGUGUAAAAAAAAUUUAUUUUUGACUCUAAUUAUAUUUUUUGGAACCUCUUGGCUUUGAUUUCCCUGCGAAAUGGUGUGGACCCAGCACCAUUUCUU